CAGUAGCCGCGGGAAGACAGAGGUCCCGAGCGUUGUUCGGAUUCAUUGGGCGUAAAGGGUGUGUAGGAGGUCGGGUAAGUCAGGUGUGAAAUCUCACAGCUUAACUGUGAAACUGCGCUUGAUACUGCCCGGCUAGAGGAUCGGAGGGGGUAACGGAAUUCAUUGUGUAGCAGUGAAAUGCGUAGAUAUCAUGAGGAACACCGGUGGCGAAGGCGGUUACCUGGAAGAUUCCUGACUCUGAAACACGAAAGCCAGGGGAGCAAACGGGAUUAGAUACCCGCGUAGUCCCUGUCUCUUAUAC
rnacentral:rRNA from 1 species